AACGAACGCUGGCGGCAGGCUUAACACAUGCAAGUCGAGCGAGACCUUCGGGUCUAGCGGCGGACGGGUGAGUAACGCGUGGGAACGUGCCCUUCUCUACGGAAUAGCCCCGGGAAACUGGGAGUAAUACCGUAUACGCCCUUUGGGGGAAAGAUUUAUCGGAGAAGGAUCGGCCCGCGUUGGAUUAGGUAGUUGGUGGGGUAAUGGCCCACCAAGCCGACGAUCCAUAGCUGGUUUGAGAGGAUGAUCAGCCACACUGGGACUGAGACACGGCCCAGACUCCUACGGGAGGCAGCAGUGGGGAAUCUUAGACAAUGGGGGCAACCCUGAUCUAGCCAUGCCGCGUGAGUGAUGAAGGCCUUAGGGUUGUAAAGCGCUUUCAGCUGGGAAGAUAAUGACGGUACCAGCAGAAGAAGCCCCGGCUAACUCCGUG
rnacentral:rRNA from 1 species